GUGCUGUCUUUGGCAGCACAUAUACUAAAAUUGGAACAAGACAGAGAAAAUUCACAUGGCCCCUGGGCACGGAUGUCAUGCAAAUUUGUGAAGUGUUCUGUAUUUUU